AACGCGAAGAACCUUACCAGGUCUUGACAUCUUCUGAUAGCCUAAGAGAUUAGGUGUUCCCUUCGGGGACAGAAUGACAGGUGGUGCAUGGUUGUCGUCAGCUCGUGUCGUGAGAUGUUGGGUUAAGUCCCGCAACGAGCGCAACCCUUAUUGUCAGUUACCAGCAUUAAGUUGGGCACUCUGGCAAGACUGCCGGUGACAAACCGGAGGAAGGUGGGGAUGACGUCAAAUCCUCAUGCCCCUUAUGACCUGGGCUACACACGUGCUACAAUGGACGAUACAACGAGUCGCUAGACCGCGAGGUUAAGCUAAUCUCUGAAAGUCGUUCUCAGUUCGGAUUGCAGGCUGCAACUCGCCUGCAUGAAGUCGGAAUCGCUAGUAAUCGCGGAUCAGC
rnacentral:rRNA from 1 species